rnacentral:misc_RNA from 1 species
AAGUCGUAACAAGGUUUCCGUAGGUGAACCUGCGGAAGGAUCAUUCAUAAUAAAAGUGUUUUAUGGCACUUUUAAAACAAUCCAUAUCCACCUUGUGUGCAAUGUUUUUUUAUUAUAUAUCACUCUAUUUUAAUUUAUUUUGUCUGAAAUAUAUUAUGAAUACUUAAUUCAAAAAUAUAACUUUCAACAACGGAUCUCUUGGCUCUC